AACCACCCAUGGGUUUGAGCAAUGGAGGAUCUGAGAUUUACAUCCUGAACAGCAGACCCCGUGGUGGAAAGCAGAGUGGUGGAAGAAGAGCAAGACACAAAUAUCAAGUCCUUUCCCCAUGAAGAUGCAUCUGUCCCAGAGUUAAAAAAGCACCUGGAUCCAGAGCYUUUGAAUAGCUGAAUUUGAAGAAUACAGUCUCCUUUUCUCUGGCUACCUUUGGCAAAGGAAAAUAUGGAGUAAAGAGAUAAUCAACAGAAUGGAAUAAAGUAUUUGCCAAUUAGUCACCUGACAGAGG